rnacentral:rRNA from 1 species
CGGGUCAACAAAGAAGAGGCAAAGACCGCGAGGCAGAGCAAAUCUCAAAAAGCCGUCCCAGUUCGGAUUGCAGGCUGCAACCCGCCUGCAUGAAGUUGGAAUCGCUAGUAAUCGCGGAUCAGCAUGCCGCGGUGAAUACGUUCCCGGGCCUUGUACACACCGCCCGUCACACCAUGAGAGUCGGGAACACCCGAAGUCCGUAGCCUAACCGCAAGGGGGGCGCGGCCGGAGGUGGGUUCGAUAAUUGGGGUGAAGUCGUAACAAGGUAAC